rnacentral:piRNA from 1 species
UGAGCAGCCACACAGGCACCUGAUUGUC